UGACAGGUGUUCUCUAUUCCCUUGAUUACCUGCUGAGGAGUAUAUAAGGAGGAGGCUGCCAGCAACUCACUGCCAGAGUGUUCCCCUUAGUGGUACAGCUCAAGCCACAUUACCAUGUCUUGUCCUUGCCUUGAACUUUUAGUAAUCUGAAUCUGUUACCUUGCAGGAUUACCUGAACCUGACCUUGCCUUCCGCGUGGAACUGCCUGGAUUAACCAAUUCUGGAAAGAAGCGAUCCAGCUCCAUGAACAAAGACUCAAGCCUCUCGUUACCUUGUUGGACCACACAGGUAAACAACCAUUUGGUCUCUCCGCUCUCCACCCUCUGGCGGAUCAUUCCAUCAACCCAGUAAGGCAGAAUUAUUGUUCAUUAAUUUUGACCCUGAGUUUUCCCUGCUUACAAUCCUGUUUAUUUUUACAGUUGGUAUCCCGGUUCUAGUUUCCCUGUUCACUACACUGCUCUGUAAAUAAAAACUUCACCGUAAACGUCUGUCUCCUGAAUUGCUUUCUGCAUGAGGGUCAACUCCGUUAAAAACAUUAUGACAUUGGGCAGUGCAACGUCUGCUUUAAAUAAGAUCACGAAUGAGAAGAAGAUGUCUUUUAUCUACCUCAAGUCUCCCAAAUUGAAGAUGUACAGAAGAUGGGACUUUUUGCAUGUUUGUUCUCUGUCGUCAUCAUUGUUAUGUUGGUUUAUUACUUUCCAUGUUUUUUUUUAUCAAAGCUUAUCAGGUCUGACAGAGCUGUCUCCACAUCAGAACAACUGAGACAUGUAACCGUAAAGGUAACCCUAAGAAUACCACAGUGGCAGCAAGGAUUGACCUCUGUGACGUGGUACCCCGCAGAGGUUAUGACAGUUGGUUUCAGAAUGCAGAUGUGUACAUUUGUGUCCGCACACCUGGGAGGCUAGCAAUUGGAAAAUGGUAUCCGGACUGGACUUAUGUGUACUGGAAUUUAAAUCCAAAAGGUUAUGUCAACCCAAACUCUAACUAUGUUCCACAGAGCCUGCAGCAACACAUCAGUUUGAUUAGAGACAAGUCCACUCGAGCUGACACCACCAGAUAUAAUCUACUGGUAAUAACUGUCAGAGAAAUGUAGAAGAAUCCCUGGCCUACUGUUAAUCAUGCAGAACUUAAUGAACUUGUUUUGGUUUUAGGAGCUGAUGUCUCUGGAAGAGACCCACUGGGAUUGUUUCGAAUUCAGUUUGUGGAUCAACCUAAACCUCCUGAUGAAGUUCUAGAUAUUACUGGUGUUAGCCCUUCUCCUAGCCCAACCACACCUCCUCAAGCAUUGGUCACUUACUUAAAUGUCUCAUCACCUGAAGUAAUAUUGCAGGUUGAAACUAGAUUUUCUGAUAAAAACACCUGGUUAGAAUGGAUAACAUUUACUGCCAAAAGCACUAACAUGACAGAGUGUAUUGCCUGUUCUUCAUCCAGACCACAACUUUUCACUACUCCUGCUCUCCCACGUGGUGUUCCAGAUGAGUAUAAGUUAGCCAAUCCUAUAGUCAAUGGGUUUGAAUCAAUAUUUCUUUGGAUUACUCCUAACAAAAACGUUGAUCGCAUUAAUUAUGUCCACUACAAUAUGCAGCACUUAGCAAACAUCAUCAGAGAUGUAAUGGUCGGCAUAACUGACCAAUUAACCUCCAGUUCUCUUAUGUCUUGGCAAACCAGAAUGGCUUUAGACAUGUCGUUGGCUGAAAAGGGAGGUGUUUGUGCCAUGUUUGGUCCUUUAUGUUGUACUUUUAUUCCAAAUAACAGGUCCUGAUGGCUCAGUAACCAGAGCUCUGGAUGGAUUAUGCACCCUGGCUCCCUGGUACCCUGACUCUGGUGCUGAUUCUUUGUCUGAUAGGUUUACUGCUACCUUUGGUAAAUGGAAGGUUUUUAUCAUUGCAGGUAUGCCUUCUUUUGCCACCUUUGCAGGUAUCCUCUUUUGCUGUGCCCUGCCUGCUUACUCUAAUUAAUAGAUUGAUUACCUCCAGGUCAUAUCAGAUGCCUCUCCUCACAGGUGAAGGGGAACCCUUGGAUUGCUCUGAUGAGUCUGAAAGUGAUUCUCAUGAUGAUGAUGCUUUCUAAUAAAUUUACCGAUAUUCAAUUUACAUCUAUUCAAAUAAUCCUCCUAAUUCUAAUGAUGUAGAUGUGUACUGAACACACACAGGGUAGAUAAUAACUCAUUAUUUCUGUUUGCUAGUAUAUUGGUGUACUAAUAUAUUCUACUAUAUUUUCUUCAUUUAAUUCUUUUGAGUGUUUGAAUUUUGUAUAUUAUUUGUGUAUUCAUUUUAUCUGAUCAUUCCUUAAAAGGUUGUUGAUUGGAGAGAUGUUUUGUUUCCAACAGAAUGAUAAAUUGUUUCCAACAAAGAGGAUGACAGUUAUAGUAGUUUAGUGUUGUAGUGUUUAGGUUUGUAAAAAUGUUUCAUUAUUCAUUUUACAUUAUUUAGUCAAUUUUUAUUACUACUUCAAUCAAUUUUUGAUUAGUUUUUAUUCACUUUAUUACUAAUCGAUUCACAUUUUGAAAUUGAUUUUCUUGUACUUUCCUUCAUUGUCAUUCAGUAUAAAGUUUCUUGGGUGUUCGAUAACAUAUGAAACUUGUUUCAUUAUAAUCAAAGAGGAUGGAUUGCUAUGGAAAAUUUUAGUGCCUUGUUUUCUUUGCUCCUUGAUUCUCUACAGGAACUGACAAAAGUAUUAGAACCCCUCAGUGUUGUUCCAUUCUUCUCUUAUUUAGUCUUACAGUAAUAGCUUCUCAGCCUUUCGCUUGCAGCUGUGUGAGAUAAUAUGUAUGCCACACUGUUAAGAUUAUGUCUAGGACAACAAGUUUCUCGCUCUGUAUCCAUCCCACUUUCCAUGUGUCCCAGAUUAAACCUAUCCUGACCAGCAAUUUGUGCCCUCCCCUUCACCUGCCCGUGACCUUGAGGGGCACCCUGUCUACUAAAUCCGAAAGAUAGUGGACUCCCGUCGGCGGGGUCGUGUCUGGCAGUACCUCGUCGACUGGGAGGGUUACGGUCCUGAGGACUGAUCUUGGGUGCCCCGUUCUUUUAUUUGUGAUCCUUCUUUGAUUUGAUUUGAUUUGUGAUUAUCAGUCUUCGCUUCAGUGCACCUCUUCUGGGCCGCCAGGCGUCGGCCGUUGAGGGGGAGGAUGAUGUUGGGGUCUGGGAGACUUUGUCUCCCCCUUUCUUGCUACUUCCUUAUUCCUCCCCUAGCCUGUCUGAACAUGGUGGCUGGGUGCUGCACAGGAGUUGCACAUCAAGCCUCAUCAGCAGAAGGUUAAGAAGAGUCUGCUGCCAGCACUUCGAUGACUGAGUGUUAACCAACUGUGGUUGCCCUGUGUUCUGGAUCCUGCUCCAGCUCGUUUCCUGGUUCCUGAACUUACCUCCAUGAAUUCACGUUAUCUCCUUGGACUGAAGUUUCCGGCUGGCAGCAGUCUGACUCCUCCCUCCUCGGAUUUUCCUAUGAUCGAACCGUGCUCACCCUCCACCAUGUUCACCUUCCAAGCCGCCCUGCAAAGACCA